rnacentral:misc_RNA from 1 species
UAACAAAACUUUAAAAAACUUAUUAAAAAAUUAUAUUAUUAUAAUGAUUUUACUCUUAAAUGUAUUAUAUAAAUAAUGUAUUUCAAUUAUCUUUUGCUGACAACUAGUAGAACUUUAACAUAUACAAGAAAUAGUCUAUCAUAUAGUACUAUUUCUGGAACAUUUUCUCAUCAAUAUAAAAGAUCUAUAAAAAAAUGGCAAUAUUUAAAGCUUCAAAUAUCAAAUAUUCAUACGACUCAAAAGCUGUGUUAUCCUACAUCUUUAACUAUAUGCCUUGGUUCAAUUUUAUGUGGUUAUUAUGUAAGAAGAUGGUGGUUGAAACAACCAUUAAUGCAACAGCAAAUGUAUAUAACAUGGUAUAAGCAAAAGAGACAUAUUUUUUAUGGUUCUUUGGCAUUCUUAUCAUUUAUUUUAUUUAUUUAUUGUUUAACAUGUUUUGAGAAGGAUCGAAUAUUGAAGAAACGACGUUUUGUUUUAUUUGAUCAAGAUCUACGAAUUAAAAAUGCUAAAAUUCUUUUUAGAGUGAUAGUACAAAAUAAAGAAAAUGUAGUACCAUUAAAUGACCCUAAGUAUGCAAUUGUUGGCAAUGCAAUAAAAAAAUUAAUAGAUUCUAACAAAGAAAUUUUUGAAGGAUUGGAUUGGACAGUAACUAUAAUUUAUCGUAUAUUUAAUAUGGCAUCACUUCCUAAUGUUUUGAUUUUACCAGAUAGAAGUAUUAUUAUACUUUCUGAUAUGUUUGAUCUCAUUAAAAGCAAUGAUCAAUUAAUAUUUAUUUUAGCUCAUGAAAUGUCACAUGAAAUGCUUCUUCAUACAUCAGAAACAUUAUCUUUUGGAAUACUAAAUGACAUUGCAACUAUUAUCUUUUCAUUUCUAAUUUGGGUUUUCUAUCCAAGAAGAAUAGCAGCCAUACUUUGUUCAAGUUUUUAUGUAUUUUCUUCAAUUAUUUUUGCUUGGUAUAGAAGAUCAUCUGAAAUUGAAGCUGAUGAAGUUGGAAUUGAAUUAGCUGUAAAAAGUUGUAUUGAUCCUAGAGAAGUUUUAGUAUUCUGGGAGAUUAUGAAGAUAUUUGAAGAACUUAGUAAAGCGGAUAAAUUUGAAAUACCAUUAUUUAUGCAUCAUCCUAGCUUAAAGAAAAGAAAGAAAAGAACUAUUAAAUUAAUGCCUAAGAUUUUGAAAAUAAGAAAACAAGCUAAGGUUGAUAGUUGGAGCACCAAAAGGAAAUUAUUCUUGGUCUUCAACAAAGAGAUUAUCUUAUUUGAUCGAACCUGGUAUUGUGUAUCGUUGUGAAAUCGAAAAUCCACAUUUGUAUCGUGAAAUCGAAAAUCACAAAUGUCAAGAAAUUAAACCAGAAAAAAUUGAAAAUGAAAAAGGAUAUAUAACGCAACUCGGAAUGAUGAUGUGGAUACGGAAGCAAUAUGGGUGGUUUGGAAGUGCAAUUUCAAUAGAUAGAAUAAAUGGAAUUUUAACAGUAUGUGCACCACGAACAAUUGUGGCACUUUUAUAUAAAUCUUUAGAUAUUAAUUUGGAAACUAUGCAAGGGAUAUGUUACAGUG